rnacentral:rRNA from 1 species
UACGGAGGGUGCAAGCGUUAUCCGGAUUCACUGGGUUUAAAGGGUGCGUAGGUGGGCAGGUAAGUCAGUGGUGAAAUCUCCGGGCUUAACCCGGAAACUGCCGUUGAUACUAUCUGUCUUGAAUAUAGUGGAGGUGAGCGGAAUAUGUCAUGUAGCGGUGAAAUGCUUAGAUAUGACAUAGAACAUCGAUUGCGAAGGCAGCUCGCUAAGCUAUUAUUGACACUGAGGCACGAAAGCGUGGGGAUCAAACAGG